GAAAAUGCAUAAAAAAGUUUGAAUAUCAUUUAUUGUGUAACAAUGUAAACUUUACUUACGCACCAUUUUAUAUUAUUUUUUCUAUUAUAGUAUAGCUAAAUGUUUAGGUGCUUUAAAGGUCAGUAAAAGAUCCUACGAGUGGCUCCAAAAUAAAAACGUCAUCUCGUGUGUAGUUCCAGACAAGGAAGCACUGAAAGCUUGUGUCUUUAUGUCAGAUUAUCAUGAAGUUCUUGUCCCUCCGGCCUGUGGAGCUGCUCUUGCUGCAGUAACUGAUAAAAGUCUUAUCCCUCACCUCCAAGAUGAAGGAAAGCUUCCAAAAAGCUUAAGCAAUAUCAUAGUCAUUGUCUGUGGCGGGAGUGGGAUUAAAUCUGAGAAUAUUGAGCAAUGGAGGAACGACAUAAGAGAAGAAAAGGAUUGACUGUUUGAUACUUAGUUGUGAAAGUCAAUUUAAAUUUUCAAAACUAUUAAUUUUAUAUUUUGUACAAUUAUUUCAUUUCACAGUUAACGAAUAUUAAACCAC